UGAACAAUAAAUGAGGUGUCAGGUGCCCUGAGGCACUGAUAGAUAUUAAUGCCCCUGACCAGCCUCACCUGGGGUGUUCCACUCCCUCCAGGGUCUCAGAAUUUCAGCUCAGCCCUUUACAGCCCCCUGUUUGUUGACAGCACUGUAGGGCUGCUGGUGUCCAGCUCCUGGCCUGUCACCCUGCUGAAGUGGACUGGCCUGGGUAUGGUCCUCCAGGUUUGGUGACAGAGCUGUCCUGGCAGCAUGGAUCUGGCUGGCAGUCUCUAGAGGGUAUCUGGUUUUGACCCUGCCCUGCAGAACAUCCCCUAAGCUUGGCCCCCAGGCCUGUGUUGUUGCUAAGAGUGUAUCUGAUGCUGGGACUUGAGGCUGCCCUGCUCUCCCCACCAGCUGUUUUGUGGCUGGUCCUGAUCCUGCCUCUCUGUCCCACUAGAAGAAGACGUGGGUUAAUUGAGAUUCAGAUACGGCAAGUUUGAAGAAGAAGAAAGAGCCUGCUUCUCUGGGAUAGGUGCAGGGUUCUCCUCCAGGAUAUCUACAAGUGUAUUUGGAUGUGUGUCUGUUUAAAUGUACUAUUAGUGUGAAAGUAAUAGAACAAUAUGGGCUUCACCCACAGAGUUGUAGACUGAAGCAGCUGCCAAAUCAGAUCCUUUACAUGUGGGGUUUGAUUGGCAUAAUCUCUGAAUGUUUUUUGUUUCCAACUGCUCUACAUAGAUUAGCCUAGAAGAUUAAAAAAACCUGUGGGUCCCUCCAAGUACUUGGGAUAAUAUAUUCUCAUUUUAAAAGUAUAGUUGAAUAUAUUGAGUAAGGGAAAGAAAGGCAUGAAAUCAAGACUUUAGAAGCAAGGCAAAAAGUCACAAUGUUUGUUUCAUGAUAUAUCUGGGAUCUUACCACCUGGAGAGGUUUGAGAAGCAGACCUUCCAAAUAAAAAUAGCAGAAUAAUAAAACAACAGUAGUAAAAAGCAGUGGUGAGGUACUUCAAAAAUCUACAUUUUACAGAAGUGUAAUCAUGAUUUAAAAAUACAAAAACACUGUGACUCAAAAGAGGGAGAGCGUGGGUGUUUGCUGGGGAUGAGUCAAAAGAGAAGAAAUUUCAAUUCCAGAAAGCAAAUGCAAAAGAUGAGGCUCUGUAAGUAGAGCCUGCAAAAAGGCAGACCAAAUUUAUGCAUUUGUUCUGCAUCCAGGGUUCACCUCCAUGCUAUGCAGAAGUCAUUGAUUAACUGACAUUAGAUUGAAAUGGGGCAAUUAGACAGAGUAAAAUGUCUACAGCAUAAAUUAUACAAGAAAAGUGUCUGAAGAGAGCCUCCCCUUUGUCUUUAAGACUUGCCAGCUGUUCCUUUUCUGCCUUGUGAUUUUUACCUUUCCAGAUAAGCAUAUUCCUUUCUCUAAAUCAAUCUGACGGAACAGAGCUAACUGUAUAUCACAGGGUACAGCUGUAUGUCCAGAUACAUUUUUAAUAGGUCAGCCAGUCCAGUGGCAAGAUAGCACUGAUUCAUGUUAGCAGAUGAGGAGGAAAAUGGUGCUGUGGAAGCACCUACAGCAGAUACCACUGCACACUUCCUUGGCCCUGGUUGCUUGAAACAGUUUGUCACAUGCUUAAACUGAAACAUGCGCUUUAGUCCCCUUUGUAGUCAGUGAAUCAGGUGCUCAGUCUUCUACAGUAUUGAAAAUUAAUUGCAGAAGUUGGAAAUCCUGCUGUUUUCCAGUGUAAAUAAUGGAAGUAAAUCACUGAUUCAUUGAAAAAAGAAAGCUGAUGCAGUUCUGUGGCUAUGCUGGUUCAGUGUUCUUUGCUUGUAAUAGUGCAAAUGUAUUUAACUGCUUUUUUGCAACAGAAA